GCCGAGCUGGGUAGCGCUAGCUUGUGACUCGAGUGAGGGCAUUAAGGAUGGUUGGAAUGCAGUUCGGCCCACUAUGCAGGGCUGGAAGGUCGCGAUUUGUCGGCCCGCCCGGUCCAAGUCGUGAGUGGGCCAUGGGUCUCAAACGAAGGCUUGGGCCUCCUGGUCCCUAGAGAGGGGGGCACCGCGUGAGGCUGGUUUCACAGAGCAGCGAAAACCUUCCACUCAUGACAGUGGGCGGAUAACGGGCCGGCGCACCUGCAGUCCAGAUUGCCUUGUGGGCUGUCCUCAGCUGAACAACCAUCUUU
rnacentral:SRP_RNA from 1 species